rnacentral:rRNA from 1 species
UACGGGGGGAGCUAGCGUUUUUCGGAAUUACUGGGCGUAAAGGGCGCGUAGGCGGUUAGUAAAGUUGAAAGUGAAAUCCCCGAGCUUAACUCGGGAACUGCUUUCAAAACUUAUUGACUAGAGGAUGAUAGAGGAUAGUAGAAUUCCUAGUGUAGAGGUGAAAUUCUUAGAUAUUAGGAGGAAUACCGGUGGCGAAGGCGGCUAUCUGGAUCAUUUCUGACGCUGAGGCGCGAAAGCGUGGGGAGCAAACAGG